rnacentral:rRNA from 1 species
UACAGAGGGGCAAGCGUUAUUCGGAAUUAUUGGGCGUAAAGGGCGCGUAGGCGGCUUUGCAAGUGACGGGUGAAAUCCCUCGGCUUAACCGAGGAACUGCCUGUCAAACUGCAUGGCUUGAGACCGGGAGAGGUGAGUGGAAUUCCCAGUGUAGCGGUGAAAUGCGUAGAUAUUAGGAAGAACACAGUGGCGAAGGCGGCUCACUGGCCCGGUACUGACGCUGGAGGCG